rnacentral:tRNA from 1 species
CGGGGCGUAGCGCAGUCUGGUAGCGCACUAUACUGGGGGUGUAGGGGUCGUGGGUUCGAGUCCCGCCGUCCCGACCA